UACGAAGGGGGCUAGCGUUGCUCGGAAUCACUGGGCGUAAAGCGCACGUAGGCGGGUUGUUAAGUCAGGGGUGAAAUCCUGGAGCUCAACUCCAGAACUGCCUUUGAUACUGAAGAUCUUGAGUUCGGGAGAGGUGAGUGGAACUGCGAGUGUAGAGGUGAAAUUCGUAGAUAUUCGCAAGAACACCAGUGGCGAAGGCGGCUCACUGGCCCGAUACUGACGCUGAGGCACGAAAGCGUGGGGAGCAAACAGG
rnacentral:rRNA from 1 species